GUACUCGUUUCAGUGUACGUGUACUGAAAUUCAAAUGGUACACAGACAAUUAGCGUGGCCCUUGCUCAAAGAUGAGACACAAAAUCGUUAUGUAUUCCACGUUUCA